UGAGUAACCUGCCCUUAACUCUUGGAUAAGCCUGGGAAACUGGGUCUAAUACCGGAUAUGACUCCUCAUCGCAUGGUGGGGGGUGGAAAGCUUUUUGUGGUUUUGGAUGGACUCGCGGCCUAUCAGCUUGUUGGUGAGGUAAUGGCUCACCAAGGCGACGACGGGUAGCCGGCCUGAGAGGGUGACCGGCCACACUGGGACUGAGACACGGCCCAGACUCCGUACGGGAGGCAG
rnacentral:rRNA from 1 species